rnacentral:ncRNA from 1 species
UUGGGCAAACUUGCUGAAAGGCAAGGACGCAAAGCUAAUGGGUCUAAACCGAAUAUAAGGGUAUGACAGCCGGCUGC